UGCUUCGAUCGUGCCGAGCUAAUGCGGAUCGGUGCAAAAUGUGGCUCGUAACGCGAUUGUUUCUUGUGGUGAGUGCCAUCGUGGUGCCUCAUGCUUUGGCACAGUGUGACAGCAGUUCGCCGUACCGUACGUUCGACGGUACCUGUAACAACCUGCAAAAUCCAUCCUGGGGAUCUGCCAACACACCGUACGAAAGAUUACUCCCGGCCGAAUACGGUGAUGGUGUGUACGUUCCUCGCCGUUCCAUAACCGGAGCUGAACUACCGAGUGCUCGACUGCUGUCGAUGACGAUGUUCAACGAGCAAAACAUACUCGAUUCCCAAACCACCCUAGUGAACAUGCAGUUCGGACAGCUUGUCGCUCACGACAUGGGUCUACGAGCAGGCAGUUCCGAUCAGGUAGCGUGUUGCCAGAAUGGAAGAGUCGUCGCCAAUCCGGGUCGUCGAUGCUUUGCAAUUCCGGUCCGUCCAGACGACCCGGUCCUAUCCGCCGGUGGGAUUCAAUGUCUGGAUCUAGUACGUACACUCAACACCUGUGAUGUUAACCCAUCGAGCUGCGCCAACCGUCAGCAGGCGCAGCAAUUGAAUGCGGCCACCUCGUUUCUGGACCUGUCCGUUGUGUAUGGUAACAGUGGACAGCAGAAUGCGCAGCUGCGUGCGUUUGUUGGCGGCCGGAUGAAGGUGGACAAUCGGAAUGGUACCGAUUGGCCUCCACGACAUCCGCAAGCCACUAGUGCCUGUACGUUGAACGCUGCCACCGACACCUGCUAUUUGACCGGAGACGAGCGGAGCAACAUUACGCCAGAAUUAACGAUCCUGCACGUGGCGUUCUUGCGCGAGCACAAUCGCCUCGCACAGCAGCUGAGCAUAGUGCAUCCACUGUGGAACGAUGAGAAAGUGUUCCAGGAGGCACGACGCAUCAACAUUGCACAGUAUCAGCGCAUCGUGUACUACGAAUGGUUGCCGUAUUUCCUUGGGAUAGAUCCAAUGACCCAGCGCGGUUUAUUGGUGCGUACGCGCGACUAUGUUAAUGAUUACACGCCGUCGAUUAAUCCAGCCUCGCUAAACUCUCACGCCAAUGGUGCGUUCCGUUACUUCCACUCGUCCAUUCUGGGAAGCUUAAGUCUUUACCAGGAAUCGCGAGCAUUUGCCAGUGCGAUUAACAUCAACGAUCACAUGUUUAACCCCACGGUGCUGGAGCGAAACGAUGGCUACCGGAUGCUGACGCGCGGCAUGACCACGCAACCGAUGGGACGGAACGAUUGGAGCUUUGAUCCCGAAAUCAAACACUUCCUCUUCCGGAUGAGCGGUCGCUUCGGUACCGAUCUGAAGGCGCUGGACAUACAGCGCAGUCGCGAUCACGGAAUAGCGGGCUAGAAUGCAUUCCGACAGUACUGCGGAUUAGGUCGUGCUACUCGGUGGGAAGAUUUUGUGGAGCUACGUGUGCCAAGAGACAUUCAACUACUUAGCUCACUCUAUAGUACCGUAGAUGAUGUGGAUCUAACGGUGGCUGAGUUCUUCGAGCGACACAUACCCGGUACGCAGGCCGGUCCCACUUAUCACUGUAUUCUGAUGGAGCAGUUCCUGCGUACGCGUAAGGGAGAUCGGUUCUUCUUUGAGAAUGGUAACAUGCCAAGCUCGUUCACGCUCCUACAGCUGACCGAAAUCCGGAAGGCCAGCAUGUCGCGCAUUCUGUGCGACAAUACGCCAGGUGUGGCGCAGAUGCAGCAGCGCGCCUUCCAGCAGAUCUCGGACGCAAAUCCCUUGGUACCGUGCACGAUGAUGCCCGCAUUGGAUGCACGUUUAUGGUAAAAUGUUUUUCUGUUCCAACACAAGUCUACGGGUGGAACACGUGGUGGACGUUUUGAAAACUGUUUUUUUUUCUAGCAAAUUUUACAAAGGAAUCAAAACUAUAGUACAUAUAUCACGAGAUUUCCUUUCCCAGAUUCGUAUUCCGUCUAGAUAGAUAGAUUUAAAAAUUUGCUUGUUGAAUUUUGUAGCAACCAAAUAUCAGCAUGAUUCCAAAUACACUGAAGAACGCUAGCAUGCGUCUAACAAGAACUACUUGCCAAGAACGCUUAAGAGAUUUGUUAACUAAGGUGAUUAGAAGAUAUAGAAUACAUGUGCAGACUCGAGGAUUUGUGCUGCUAACUGAA